rnacentral:lncRNA from 1 species
AAUCUCAUACUCCUCCUCAAGAUGAAGGUAGUAUUUCCGUACUGAAUCUUGGAUAUUUGUAAGCUACUUCAUGAAAUAACUUGUUUCACUUGCUCUAGAGUUGUAUACCACUUCAUGAUUAGCUGAUUAAUUGGAUUAAUAGUAGGGAUAAAAACCCAGCUGGGAUACCUAUUGUUGCUCCUCUUUUCACUUUUUAUUCACUGGGAAA